rnacentral:rRNA from 1 species
GAUGAACGCUGGCGGCGUGCCUAAUACAUGCAAGUCGAGCGAACGGACGAGAAGCUUGCUUCUCUGAUGUUAGCGGCGGACGGGUGAGUAACACGUGGAUAACCUACCUAUAAGGCUGGGAUAACUUCGGGAAACCGGAGCUAAUACCGGAUAAUAUUUUGAACCGCAUGGUUCAAAAGUGAAAGACGGUCUUGCUGUCACUUAUAGAUGGAUCCGCGCUGCAUUAGCUAGUUGGUAAGGUAACGGCUUACCAAGGCAACGAUGCAUAGCCGACCUGAGAGGGGGAACGGCCACACUGGAACUGAGACACGGUCCAGACUCCUACGGGAGGCAGCAGUAGGGAAUCUUCCGCAAUGGGCGAAAGCCUGACGGAGCAACGCCGCGGGAGUGAUGAAGGUCUUCGGAUCGUAAAACUCUGUUAUUAGGGAAGAACAUAUGUGUAAGUAACUGUGCACAUCUGGACGGUACCUAAUCAGAAAGCCACGGCUAACUACGU